CCGUAGCGACUGCGGAGGACAUUAACGAGUAAACAAGGGGAGUAGUUGCUGGCCUUAAGGCAUGUGCACGCUCUCUGCUCAGUCUACCUUACACCUGUGCAUCUCUGUAGGCUAAAGUGGAGUUACAUCUACUUUUGUCUAUGUUUUCAUACACACAUGUAGUUGUCAGAAUGUCUUUUGCGGAAAACGCAUCUAUAACAACUUUCAACAACGGAUCUCUUGGCUCUCGCAUCGAUGAAGAACGCAGCGAAAUGCGAUAAGUAAUGUGAAUUGCAGAAUUCAGUGAAUCAUCGAAUCUUUGAACGCACCUUGCGCUCCUUGGUAUUCCGAGGAGCAUGCCUGUUUGAGUGUCAUGAUGUUCUCAACUCACUUGGCUUUCUUGGCCAUGUAAGCUUGGAAUUGGGGGUUUGCUGGCUGUUGCGGUUGGCUCCCCUCUAAAUGCAUUAGCUGGAUCCACAGCAUGAUCAGUGUUUGGUGUGAUAAUUUGUCUACGCCGUCGCUGUGAUGCGUCUAUAUGGGUCUGCUUCCAACUGUCCCUGGACAAUACAUGACUUUUUGACCUCAAAUCAGGUAGGAUUACCCGCUGAACUUAAGCAUAUAA
rnacentral:rRNA from 1 species